AGCGAACGCUGGCGGCAGGCCUAACACAUGCAAGUCGAACGAACCUUUCGGGGUUAGUGGCGGACGGGUGAGUAACACGUGGGAACGUGCCUUUAGGUUCGGAAUAACUCAGGGAAACUUGUGCUAAUACCGAAUGUGCCCUUCGGGGGAAAGAUUUAUCGCCUUUAGAGCGGCCCGCGUCUGAUUAGCUAGUUGGUUGAGGUAUUGGCUCACCAAGGCGACGAUCAGUAGCUGGUCUGAGAGGAUGAUCAGCCACAUUGGGACUGAGACACGGCCCAAACUCCUACGGGAGGCAGCAGUGGGGAAUCUUGCGCAAUGGGCGAAAGCCUGACGCAGCCAUGCCGCGUGAAUGAUGAAGGUCUUAGGAUUGUAAAAUUCUUUCACCGGGGACGAUAAUGACGGUACCCGGAGAAGAAGCCCCGGCUAACUUCGUG
rnacentral:rRNA from 1 species